rnacentral:rRNA from 1 species
GAUGAACGCUAGCUACAGGCUUAACACCUGCAAGUCGAGGGGUAACAAGAGAAAAGCUUGCUUUUCUUGUUGACGACCGGCGCACGGGUGAGUAACGCGUAUCCAACCUGCCUAUAACUAGGGAAUAACCUUGCGAAAGUAAGACUAAUACCCUAUGAUUUCCUUUGAUGACAUCAGAUUAGGAAUAAAGAUUUAUCGGUUAUAGAUGGGGAUGCGUCUGAUUAGCUUGUUGGCGGGGUAACGGCCCACCAAGGCAACGAUAGGUAGGGGUUCUGAGAGGAAGUCCCCCCAAAUUGGACAUGAGACAAGGACCCCAGUCCUACGGGAGGGAGAAGUGAGGAAUAUUGGUCAAUGGGCGGAAGCCUGAACCAGCCAAGUAGCGUGCAGGAUGACGGCCCUAUGGGUUGUAAACUGCUUUUAUACAGGAAUAAAGUUAGCCACGUGUGGUUAUUUGUAGGUACUGUAUGAAUAAGGACCGGCUAAUUCCGUGCCAGCAGCCGCCGUAA